CCUCGCUAAACACAAUAGGUGCGCUCAUUCCUAUAACCAUGCGUGUGCCCUGGCGCGCCGUUUGCCGGUGGAAACCAGAUGUGACGAAUCGACAAACAGAUUUGAGCGAGCUUUCUACUAUGGUAUUCCUCUAUGAGCAAGGCAAACCUUGCACAUCACCACUACCUGCAGACAGAUCGGUGCUUAAGCAACAAACCCCAUAGAGCACUGCAAAAGAUCGCUCAGUCUACUGGUCCAGAAGUUAUGGGUGGAGUCCACAUUGGUGCAGCAUUUAGUGAGAGUGAAUGAGGUCACGCAACCGAAGAAAGUUCCAUGAAACUCAGGCCCUUAGUGCACCCCUUCCCCUCCGGUGUGCUCAUUAUUAUGCAGCAGUUUUUCUCCUGUGAUCCGCACAAUGCUGAGAUCAUAACCAUGUCAUGGACAGGUCAGAGGAAGCAUGGUUUGCAACACUGAGGCACUCUCUGCAGGUCAUAGAGUUUUAUCCCUUCUUCCAGGGCUGACACACAUCCUGGGUUGAGUGUUUGUGUGUGUAGGUGUAGGUGU